UGCUGGGCGGAGGUGAGCUGAGCUGAGCUGAGCUGAGUUGGACUAUGCUGGGCCGGGCAAACCCGUCGCCCCCACACGUGUACCCGCUGGUGUCCUGUGAGGACGCCCUGUCCGAGGGGAGCCCGGUGGCCCUGGGCUGCCUCGCGCGGGACUUCCUGCCCAGCUCCAUCACCUUCUCCUGGAAGUACAAGAACACCUCCGACGUCAGCAACGUCAAGACCUUCCCACCGGUGCUGAGAGAGGGCACGUACACGGCCACCUCGCAGGUGCUGCUGGCCUCGGCGGACGCCCUCCAGGGAGCAGACGACUACCUGGUGUGCAAAGUCCAGUACCCCAGCGGCAACACGGACGUGAACGUGUCCAUUCCACCCUCCGUGGAGCUGCCCCCCACGGUCAGCGUGUUCGUCCCGCCCCGCGAUGCCUUCUCCGGCUCCGGCCAGCGCAAGUCCAAGCUCAUCUGCCAGGCCACGGGUUUCAGCCCCAGGAAGGUCUCCGUGUCCUGGCUGCGUGAGGGCAAGGUGGUGCAGGCUGACAGCCCCGCUGACCGGGUGGAGGCUGAGGCCCAGGGCUCCGGGCCGCAGACCUUCAGGGUCAGCAGCUCUCUGACCGUCACCGAGAACGACUGGCUCAGCCAGACGGUGUUCACCUGCCGCGUGGAUCACAGAGGGAAGGCCUACCAGAAGAGCGUGUCCUCCGUGUGCAGCACAAACCUGCCCUUGACCAUCCGCCUGUUCGCCAUCGCCCCCUCCUUUGCCGACACCUUCCUCACCAAGUCAGCCAAGCUGUCCUGCCGGGUCACCAACCUGGUCAGCAACGACAGCCUGAAUAUCUCCUGGACCCGCCAGAACGGCGAGCCUCUGAGCACCCACACGGUCUCCGAGAGCCUCCCCAAUGACACCGUCAGCGCCCUGGGGGAGACCAGCGUCUGCGUGGACGACUGGGAGUCUGGGGAGACGUUCACGUGUACCGUCACCCACCCGGACCUGCCCUCGCCGCUCAAGCAGUCCAUCGCCAAGCCCAAGAAGGUGGCCAAGCACCCUCCCCAUGUCUACCUGCUGCCCCCGGCCCAGGAAGAGCUGCAUCUGCGGGAGUCGGCCACCCUCACCUGCCUGGUCAGGAACUUCGCGCCCGCGGACGUGUUCGUGCGGUGGAUGCAGAGGGGCCAGCCCCUGAGCGAGGACAAGUUUGUCACCAGCGCUCCGGCGCCCGAGCCCCAGGACCCCAGCCUCUACUACGCCUACAGCCUCCUGACGGUGCCCGAGGAGGACUGGAGCUCGGGGGUGCCUUACACCUGCGUCGUGGGCCACGAGGACCUGCCCCUCCUGGUGACCGAGAGGACAGUGGACAAGUCCACCGAAGGGGAGGUGAGUGCCGAGGAGGAGGGCUUCGAAAACCUGUGGACCACGGCCUCCACCUUCAUCGUCCUCUUCCUCCUGAGCCUCUUCUACAGCACCACCGUCACCCUGUUCAAGGUGAAGUGACGACGGGCGGGAGACCUGGGAGACCAGAGAUGGAAUGGAGAGGAGGGCAGCCGCCAGGCCUGUCCGGCCUGUACAAGCAUCCUCAGCCUCCCCACCGUACCCCCAGCUUCGAGCCCUGAGAAACAGGCUUCUUCACAGACCGGGAGCCCACGGCCAAGGCCUGGGACCCAGCACAGCUGUGCUGCCCACGCGCUUGCCGCUCUGAAAUAAAGGUGCAUAUUUAACAUGG